AGACAGAAAUGGGCGGUGAUUGUGGUGACACCGGAGACAGACAUAUAAAAGAUGUGGACGUGUAUGUUACCUGUGUGGCGAUUGGUUCAGUUGAAUACGAAGACGUGCAAAGUACAGCAGGAUGAGUUCUUUAUGGAUCUGACACAAUAGCUGGCCAACAUGAUGGGGUAACUUGUCUUGGAUCAUUAGGUCUGUCGACAUUAAAUUUAUUUUUAUUUUUCAAUAUUGUACAUUUUUUCCACAAAAUAAAAUGUCUAUAUGAAAAUA